rnacentral:rRNA from 1 species
UGAAGCUGGAAUCGCUAGUAAUCGCGAAUCAGAAUGUCGCGGUGAAUACGUUCCCGGGUCUUGUACACACCGCCCGUCACACCAUGGGAGUCGGAAAUGCCCGAAGUCAGUGACCCAACCGUAAGGAGGGAGCUGCCGAAGGUGGAGCCGGUAACUGGGGUGAAGUCGUAACAAGGUACC